UCCACAGUGGGUGAGAUGGAUGGCCCCAGGC
rnacentral:piRNA from 1 species